GAUGAACGCUGGCGGCGUGCCUAAUACAUGCAAGUCGAGCGAACAGAUAAGGAGCUUGCUCCUUUGACGUUAGCGGCGGACGGGUGAGUAACACGUGGGUAACCUACCUAUAAGACUGGGAUAACUUCGGGAAACCGGAGCUAAUACCGGAUAAUAUUUCGAACCGCAUGGUUCGAUAGUGAAAGAUGGUUUUGCUAUCACUUAUAGCUGGACCCGCGCCGUAUUAGCUAGUUGGUAAGGUAACGGCUUACCAAGGCGACGAUACGUAGCCGGACUGAGAGGAGGGAUCGGCAAAACGGAACCGAGACCAGGUCCCGAACUCCAAGGGAGGGAGGAGGUGGGAAUAUUGCACAAUGGGGGAAAGCCUGAACGAGCCAACCCGGGGGGGGUAAGAAGGGUCUCGGGUUGGUAAAACUCUGUUUUUGGAAAGAAAAGUAGGUGUAAGUAACUGUGCACGUCUGACGGUACCUAAUCAGAAAGCAACGGCUAACUACGUG
rnacentral:rRNA from 1 species